GGCAUGACGCAGACUACACAUGCAGUCGAGCGGUAGCACAGAGAGCUUGCUCUCGGGUGACGAGCGGCGGACGGGUGAGUAAUGUCUGGGAAACUGCCUGAUGGAGGGGGAUAACUACUGGAAACGGUAGCUAAUACCGCAUAAUGUCGCAAGACCAAAGUGGGGGACCUUCGGGCCUCAUGCCAUCAGAUGUGCCCAGAUGGGAUUAGCUAGUAGGUGGGGUAACGGCUCACCUAGGCGACGAUCCCUAGCUGGUCUGAGAGGAUGACCAGCCACACUGGAACUGAGACACGGUCCAGACUCCUACGGGAGGCAGCAGUGGGGAAUAUUGCACAAUGGGCGCAAGCCUGAUGCAGCCAUGCCGCGUGUGUGAAGAAGGCCUUCGGGUUGUAAAGCACUUUCAGCGGGGAGGAAGGCGGUGAGGUUAAUAACCUCAUCGAUUGACGUUACCCGCAGAAGAAGCACCGGCUAACUCCGUGCCAGCAGCCGCGGUAAUACGGAGGGUGCAAGCGUUAAUCGGAAUUACUGGGCGUAAAGCGCACGCAGGCGGUCUGUCAAGUCGGAUGUGAAAUCCCCGGGCUCAACCUGGGAACUGCAUUCGAAACUGGCAGGCUAGAGUCUUGUAGAGGGGGGGUAGAAUUCCAGGUGUAGCGGUGAAAUGCGUAGAGAUCUGGAGGAAUACCGGUGGCGAAGGCGGCCCCCUGGACAAAGACUGACGCUCAGGUGCGAAAGCGUGGGGAGCAAACAGGAUUAGAUACCCUGGUAGUCCACGCCGUAAACGAUGUCGAUUUGGAGGUUGUGCCCUUGAGGCGUGGCUUCCGGAGCUAACGCGUUAAAUCGACCGCCUGGGGAGUACGGCCGCAAGGUUAAAACUCAAAUGAAUUGACGGGGGCCCGCACAAGCGGUGGAGCAUGUGGUUUAAUUCGAUGCAACGCGAAGAACCUUACCUGGUCUUGACAUCCACAGAACUUUCCAGAGAUGGAUUGGUGCCUUCGGGAACUGUGAGACAGGUGCUGCAUGGCUGUCGUCAGCUCGUGUUGUGAAAUGUUGGGUUAAGUCCCGCAACGAGCGCAACCCUUAUCCUUUGUUGCCAGCGGUCCGGCCGGGAACUCAAAGGAGACUGCCAGUGAUAAACUGGAGGAAGGUGGGGAUGACGUCAAGUCAUCAUGGCCCUUACGACCAGGGCUACACACGUGCUACAAUGGCAUAUACAAAGAGAAGCGACCUCGCGAGAGCAAGCGGACCUCAUAAAGUAUGUCGUAGUCCGGAUUGGAGUCUGCAACUCGACUCCAUGAAGUCGGAAUCGCUAGUAAUCGUAGAUCAGAAUGCUACGGUGAAUACGUUCCCGGGCCUUGUACACACCGCCCGUCACACCAUGGGAGUGGGUUGCAAAAGAAGUAGGUAGCUUAACCUUCGGGAGGGCGCUACUCACAUUUGAUCAUAAUGU
rnacentral:rRNA from 1 species